GACGAACGCUGGCGGCGUGCCUAAUACAUGCAAGUAGAACGCACAGUUUAUACCGUAGCUUGCUACACCAUAGACUGUGAGUUGCGAACGGGUGAGUAACGCGUAGGUAACCUGCCUGGUAGCGGGGGAUAACUAUUGGAAACGAUAGCUAAUACCGCAUAAUAUUGAUUAUUGCAUGAUAAUUGAUUGACAGAUGCUAUUGCAUCCCUACCAGAUGGACCUGCGUUGUAUUAGCUAGUAGGUGAGGUAACGGCUCACCUAGGCGACGAUACAUAGCCGACCUGAGAGGGUGAUCGGCCACACUGGGACUGAGACACGGCCCAGACUCCUACGGGAGGCAGCAGUAGGGAAUCUUCGGCAAUGGACGAAAGUCUGACCGAGCAACGCCGCGUGAGUGAAGAAGGUUUUCGGAUCGUAAAGCUCUGUUGUAAGAGAAGAACGGGUGUGAGAGUGGAAAGUUCACACUGUGACGGCAUCUUACCAGAAAGGGACGGCUAACUACGUG
rnacentral:rRNA from 1 species